UUCAAAAAUCGAGUAUGUUUUAAUAAAUGCCAGGAUGUUCUAAUAUUUUCAGCUUUUUUUGUAGAAUUCGCUGCAGACUUUUCGUGAAUCUCACAGCCACGCAUUGGAAGAGGCAUGCUGCGAGUUUUGAUAGCUAGAACUCUUCAAGUAAACAACAAAACAACUUUGAAGAUGGCGAAUAGCAAAGCUUCUGCAGUGGAGUUAAAAUGGAAGUAGUUUUUGUUGUCCUUAAAAUGAUCACGACUAUUUCAUCGUAAGAGCCAAUUUAUGGAAGGUGUGACGCAAUUUUGAAACCUCCGUAGGCAUAGAAAGGUCAAAUUGAGCUUCGUACCACAUCGCCAUUCCCACAUUUUGUAAAAAUGUGGAUGGCACCGUAUAGCUAUGAUUGCUUGACGGAUCUAUGUAAAGGAGUGUGAGCUGGAGAGGCUGCUGUCACCUGCAUGGGUGAAAAAGAAGUGGGAGAACCAUGAGCGAAAAAUUAACGGUACGCUACUGCAUGUCAUCUUGACAUUUAUAGCUGUGCUGUACUUGGCUUAUAAAGUACCACUUUUCUCUGAGAGCAAUAACACUUUCCCAUCUAUUUCCUAUGCUUCACCAGAACAUUCACGUAAGUGUGAAGAUACACAUGCUAGAAAGGUGCAAGUAUUGCAAAGAAAUGGCAUAAUACAUUUUUACAUUGCUUUACAUGCAGUAUGUUUGAUGCUGAGAGUGAUCCUUUCCCAUAUUUUCAGAAGUUGAAAGCUCCCCGCACCGGAGUUAGCAUGGAGGGAGUGGAGUCCACAACCACAUCCUGGAAAUGAUAUGCGGUGAUGGAUGAGGAGAUGAUGGACCGGCCAUCAUCUUCUCAUCCUCCCUAGGUGCAGCCGUGGGCUCCUCUCCCUUCCAGAAGGGUCCAGAUGUGGAUGCUGGAUAAAGAGUGGGAGAAGGAGGUGACUGCCAGGGAGGCACACCUAUUUAGAGGCCAGGGAGGCAUGCCAUUUUAGGGACCAUGAUUAAGAAGUUGUUUUAUGUAUUUUGUAGGUGUUUUAUUUAUAGCUAAUAUUUAUUCAUUUUGUACUGUUUUUGGUGUCUUCCUUUUUUUAAACCCAAAGUGGAUUUCUGUUCUCAUUGAAAAGUGUUUCUUGUUUGUAAUAUUUGAUAUUGGUACAUUUACUGUUGGUAUAUUUUACUUUCAACAUUUCAACAUAAAAAAGUGCACUCGCACAUCUGAGCUA